GAUUUUUAAUAAGUUAAAUGUCUUAUUCUAGGAAGGGCAUUUAUGAAGACUUGCUUUCAUUUUCAUAUGUACAGGAUUCAAAUUUCAUCAGGUACAAUCUUUUUCUUUAUAGAAGAGGCAAUACAUGAAGAGAGAGUGAGAGGGCUAUAAAUUGCAACUGAGAAGCCUUGUCAAAUCUGCUGACCUUAAGUAGAGUUUUAAAUCUAAGAUGUCAAUAGUUAUGUGGUACAUACGGUGCCCCAUGGAAAAGGAAAGUGCUGUCAUUCCUUAACCAUAUGCUUUCCACCGGGACAUUCCCUUCUAGCACUUGAACAAUCUGCAUCAAACAGUAAUUAUAAUUAUAGAAUUAAUGCUUAAACAUACAAAUUAUUAAUCUUAUAAAAAAACCUAUAAAUUAUUAAUUUCUAUAGUCAGGGAUGAUUAGUUAGCAAAACAAUUUGUUUGGUUCCAAUAUAAUUAUAUAAAAAGAAUAGUAAGUAAAUAUAUAAUCCUCUUGGAUUUUACAUACAUGGCUCAUUUGUGGGCGAUAAUCUGCAGGCUUGUACACACAAGAUGCAGCACAAUGAAUCAUCCUAAUCAUUUUAUCUUUAUUAUAGCUUUGUAAUUUUUCAUCAAUAAUAACAUUAUAAUCGCCUUUGUCCAAUGCUCGUUUGAUCAGGGGCACUGCCUGAAAUUUUCAAAAUAAAAAUAUUAGCUACUUAAAUAACUCAUAGCUAGUUAAAUAUUUAAGUUACAAUGGAAUUCCAGUAGGUAAUAAGUUGGACUUCAUUAAUAGAAUUACGAAUAAGAAAUAAUCAAGAUAAAAUAACUUCCGUUUCAGAAAAUAAAAUAUAAUAGAAAAUCUAUUAAAUACAUACCAAAGUAGACAAUCUAUUAUGAAAACCGCUUUCAUUUUUAAUAGCUUUUUUCCCAGUAAUCAAUUCUAGAAGCACGAUACCAAAAGAAAAGACGUCGCACUUAUCAGUUAGCUUCCUAUCGUUGAUAUAUUCAGGAGCCAAAUACCUGCAUGCAAAUGGAGAAUGCGUGCGCAAGAUUAAACUAAUAAUUAAGAUUCUCUCAAAGAGUGAAAGUGCAGGGGAUGCAAUCAUGCAAACCUAUCAAAUAAAAGCAUAUAUCUUACCCUGAACUUCCUUCCGAGUUGACUCUGGAAAUAUAAGAAUUUGAAAGGUCCACAUUCAU
rnacentral:misc_RNA from 1 species